rnacentral:rRNA from 1 species
GCGUGGGUGAAGAAGGCCCUAGGGUUGUAAAGCCCUUUCGCCGGUGAAGAUAAUGACGGUAACCGGUAAAGAAGCCCCGGCUAACUUCGUGCCAGCAGCCGCGGUAAUACGAAGGGGGCUAGCGUUGUUCGGAAUCACUGGGCGUAAAGCGCGCGUAGGCGGAUUGCUCAGUCAGGGGUGAAAGCCCGGGGCUCAACCCCGGAACGGCCUCUGAUACUGGCAGUCUUGAGACCGGGAGAGGAGAGUGGAAUUCCCAGUGUAGAGGUGAAAUUCGU